rnacentral:lncRNA from 1 species
UUUGCAGUAAAAACAAAAAGACCCACACUUUACCUGUAUUUUUUGGUAAACGUAAUCAAUUCUAAAGAAGAAAAAUGUAAGAAUCAAAUAUCAAAGAGGAAGAAAGAAAAGUCCAAAAUAUUUCGGAACACAUCUUGUUGUUGACUCUGGGCCUCGGUCUCCCUGUCUCGGAGGACAAGGCUGGGCAAGUGCCUGAGUCUUCAAGGCAAGCUUUAAUUGUUUAACGUGAGGUGGCCAACAUCAUCUUUAAAUGUCACGCCUUUUGGUAUGUUUCACAAAAUUGGCUCCUUUCCGUUAAAUCCUGUAUCUGCUAUACAAUUCUAAAUUAUUAUUUCUGAUUGAGACAGCAAAUUAAUCAUUCGGUGACGUGGGAGGGGGGAGAAACACGUGUCUAACUGGAGGUUGUGAAGUUCAGUGAGGUAGUAUUUUUAGCUUGGAAAGUCCAAAUUCAGAUAUUUGGGUAUCUCCCCCCCCCAUCGUUAUCCCACUCCCUCCCCAUUUUACUCUUCUCUUUCACUCACCCCUUCGGGCUCCUUCCCCCGCUUUCUCCCCCUUCCUCAGGCUGUCUUUUCCUUCCCCUACAAUCCCCCGCCACAGCGCCUCUCCUCUUUCCUUACCCUUCUCUUCUUCCCCUCUUCUCCUCUUCUCUCCCCGCCCCCCAUCCCGUCUCUGUGUGUGUAUCUCUCUCUCUGUGUCCCCCCCCCCAUUUAUUGUCUGAUCCUAUCAGUCAAGUUAAUAUAAAAGUAGCAAGUGGGAGGCCCAGCACCCUCUCUUCCGCGCGCCUAGGGCACUUUGGGGAGGUGUCGGCCGCUGCCAGGUUACCGGCGGGAGUGGUGGCCCUUGGUGCAGGGCACGCCGCCUGCGGAGGAGUUGGGGUCUGCGCUGGGUUGCAGGGCUUAUUCAAAUGCCGCCCGCUGCUGCUGUGAUUCGCAGGGACUCGGCCUCCAUAUGACGCCGAAAGGAGCCUGUGUAUGUCCUGCGGCCGCCCUGUGACUCUGGAUCUUGUCUUCUGGCCGGCGCUUCGAUUCCUGCCCAGCUGGAUUUGAGGGGCAGCAGUGCCUGGCGCAGGGAGGAGAGCAAAUGAGACUACAAAGAAGCAUAAAAUGAAUAGACAGUUCAACCAGCCAAAGACCGGGGGCAGCAGCACGCCAGCAAGACGGCAUCUUCUCCUCCCCAGCCUAGAAGCCCUGUGAAAUCGAGGAUCUUCCCCCUAAAACACACACACACAAGAUAUGUGCAAUCAAGCUGCCACCGCUUGGUAAAAAGCUCAUGGUGCCUAACCCAAAAGGAUCGGGAGCAGAUCCUUGAAUCAGCUGUCACUUCUUCUAUAGAAUGGGAUGGUUUUUUUCCUUCCUCCUUACCCUGCGCUGGAAAUUGCCGUUGGCUUUAUACGUCUCUAUAGAGGGAGGCUAAAGAGUCUUGCGUGAGAAUGAAGCAAUUUACAAUGCAAAUAGAGGCCUGUGAAGGGACGGAUGCUGCUGCUCACUCGUAACCGCUUGCUGCACCUUAAUAGCUGGUUUUAUUUUCUGAUAUUAAUAGAUGAAUUGUUGGCUAACGCUGCCGGAGAUUACUUGCUGAAAGGAAAAAAAAAAAGUUCGGAAUAAACUUUGAAAGCAACAGAUCUCGUUUGGAUGUUUAGCCGCACACACAGACAGAAACCAGGUCAUAUUUACAUACAAGGAGGAAUCUUAUGCGCGGCGAGUAUCCUGGAGGACUACCCUUCUGUGCUGUCGGAAAGAUCGGGACCUGGAGUCUGAUCAAAGGAAGACAGAGGCGCGUGAGGGAAGCGAGUUGUUAUCUUUGGUUAUCUAGCUGUAUGAGUGUAUUGGUCUUCAUAAAGCUAGAUAACCGAAAGUAAAAACUCCUUCAAGAUCGCCGGGGAGCGUGUGAGAAUGAGAGACUACAACCGAGAGACAGUAAAAACCAGAAAGGUCAGGAAUACUUAUUGAAUCUAACUUUGUUUUUGUUUUUUUGCCUUUUGAUUAAAGGUGGGGUUAGAGGAAAUUAAGUGACGCAUAUGCCAAAAUAUAAAGGUGCCAGGUACUUGGAGAGGGGUUGUUACAGCUGCAAAGGAGAAUUGUAUGGUGCUAAUGAGGAAAGAGGCUUGCGCAGUUUGUCUUGCUUUAAGGCAAAAGUUUGUAUAUGAGGUUGGUUUUUUUCUUAGACAGCUGUUGUAGAGAUGUCUGGUACCUAGUUUAAAAAUGAUUUGGUAAUAUGUGGACUUAGGCUCUUCCCUUCUGAGGCCCCUCCCCUGAAAAAUUUGAAAGAUGAUGCUUGGAAACUACAUGUAUUUGGGUUGUAUGUCAAAUUAUAUGAAAUUAGACUUUCAGAAAAUUUAUACUGGAAGGUUAAUCAUUUGUAUCUACUGAGGACAUAGAGCUAGAAGGGAAAAUGCAAAAAAAGAAAAAAAAAGCAAAGGCUGAUUUUUAUUCUUCUAUUCAAAAUACAAGGACAGAUGCUUCUCUGUUCCAAGAGGGUUUCCUUGAGGAAGCUACUGAAGCAGAAAGACAUGAUGGAGACGAGAUCGCCUCCCCUCUUGUCAAAGUGUUAAAAAAAUGUUCUGUCUUACUCUGCGCCUAGCAUUGGAAAUGAAAGUGACAUUUACGCCACAACCCACGUGUGCGCCUCCUCUCUUUUUGUUUAAGGAUGAUCAGGUCUAUCCAGGAAACAGCUCUGGCAUCCCAAACUGAAAUAAUUAGGACGUAUAUAGACCUGACAAAAAUGGAAAGGGGGUGGGGAAUCUGAGGGUCUGUCUUGCCUAAUUGAUUCCGCUAAACGGAAUGCAGGAGAUGUGAACGGCAGGACGCUCCGAUUCCCACGCUCGGGGGCAAGUGGUAAAGCGGGCCCGGCAGCCUAUGACAGACAGCCCUGUUGGGGGGUGGGGGUAUGAAAAAAACAUCGAGUGCACACACCAUACUCAUCUCCAUCGCUUAAGAAAGUAGAGGCAUUUCCCACCCACAGCCAUCUGCAGCCUCCCAAAUGGCAGCACCAACUGGUCUGUAGCUGCUGCAUACUGUCUGAUUCUGUUAAUUUUAUAACCGCUGUUUAAUCUGGCCAUAAUUAAGUUUGGCUUUCUUCUUUGCUUGAGAUUUUCAAUAUUUAAGGAAAGCUAGUAGAAAGCAGUUCCAAGCAAGUCCCAUGACUGCCUGCCCCUCAUGUCAAAUUGCCAGUCCGCACUUUUGGCCUUCCACCUUUUGGCUUUUGUUUUGGGGAAGGGGGUUCUAUUUAAAAUACUUAUCUCUUCUGUAAUAGACAUUAUUAUCACUUCAUCAGGCUCUUUACCUCUGAACAUGAUAUAUCCAGGAAGUUGGCCUAAUUCUGCUAGUAGACAUACACUGGAAGUAAAACUAUAAAAUCAUCAACCUAUAGAAAGGUGACCACAAUAACAGUGUGAUGAAAGGUUGUUUUAGUAUAGUCCCAGCUAGAUGUGUUCUAAACAGCCAUUUUUAUUUAAUCUAAAAUGACUAUGCUUAGCAGAAACUUUGGGAGGUCCCCAUGGUAAUCUUUUCAUGAAAGUCCUUUCAUUUUUCCACGUGUCACCAAGCAAACAUUUGUAUAGGCAUUUAAAAAUAAACACAAACACAAACACUGUAAUAAGAAAAUGCCCAAAAUGGCCUGUUAUCUUCCACGUGACCUAGAUUACUGACAAUCCCAAAUCCCAAAUACACAACUUUUCUUCAAAAGCAUUACAUUUCCUUUGUAGCUGCAACUCCUUAUAAGAGUUCAGACUGGAGAAGCCUGAAAAACCACUGUUAAUUUCAGUUAGAAACUGAGAGACUUUAUGAACGUAAAUUCUCAAUUUGGCCGCUGAACACGUGCCAAAGUUUUAACUACUGUAGUGACCGUUGAGAAGACCCUUGUUUAUUUACAUUUGAAGCACUGUUUGUGCAAACAACCUUUCAUUGUUAAGUGCCUGUAUUCCUUUCAUUUACUUCAUGUCCAGGGGUGCUAUUUACCUAGAACCAUUGUCUACUACAAUUAACAUUUACAUUACAAAGUGUGUGGUUUUCUUUCUCAAGGAGGUUCAAUUAAGGCAAUAAGAUGUUUGCUGGGGAAACCUAUUGUUUACUGAAAGCACUCAAUGGAGUCAAAUUACUGAAGCUUUUGCCUACAUCUUGGUCUUUUAUGUAAAUGUGUUAAAUAUAACAUCUAAGGAAAAUAAACAAUAUUAUAAUUACGUGUUUGCCAUUGUCAUAUCAAACUUGCUUUGUAUCAUACUAAUGUUACAUGACUUAUCGAUCAAUAAAAAUACAUUUCAAUGUUAUUAUUUUCAUUUUAUUUUUUGCUGUUCCACUGCUCUUGCUGCAACAUGUUCCAAUUUUUCUUUUUUCUAUUACACAUCAAACUUAUGACAUUUUGUUUUAUUUGUGUGUGUUGAAGAGAGGUACUGUAUCCAAGCAUGGGUCUGAAGGGUGUCUGAGGACAUCUCUACAGUGACCUUAUAAUAAGGUGAUAUUUCUUUGAAAUCUGAAAUAUUCCAAAGGCAUGUACAUUUAAGUCAAAAGAAGUGUAAAUAUCAGUUAAGUAGUUCUUUGAAAGCUAGUUUUAACAUUGGCAGAAACCGGAUCAAGUUUAUUUAGCAUACCACUGCAUUGUAAAACAGUUGGAGUGAAGUUGCAGGUUGCGUGAGUAUGCAUGUUAACUAGUGGGAACCAAGCGCAGUCUUUGUGAAAGGGGAGCAGCAGAUUGCUGUGCAAGGCCAAUGUUAAAAAGGCAGCUGAAUUUAACACCAUCUGGAAGAAAAGAUCCCUUCACGACUUUCUCACACCGUCAGACAAAACUAGUGUCUCUUGUUCCGAGCCCUUGUCUAUGCAACCAUACAAUACUGAGUCAUUAUACUUUUGCUGAGAGAAAAUUUGAGAACACAAUAUGGGUAACCAGUGAAUGACCAAGUUUCAUUGUGCCCGCUUAAGUCGAUUGAAAUCUACGUCUAGAGCUCUGAAUGGUAGUAUUGUUUUCCUCACCAGGGCUGUACUAAAUGUCAGCACAGUGUAAAGAAAAACUUGAAGUCUGCAAAUAACUUACCAGAUCUCAAUUAUAAUAUUUUCCCACACUAGAACUAAUAUCAUUGCGAGGGGCUACACUGCAGAAAAUACCAAAAGAAACGAAAAGAAAUAGAGAGUUCAUUUAGAAGUUAUUUUAUCCAGACAAACAUUUUAAUUUUCUGAUGGGAACUUCAAUUCAGGCUGCAGGCUGGGUUGAGAAGUAGAAUUCAUUACUGGGAAGUUCAAGUUACAAAAAUGCUUCUUGUGCAAUUAAAAUAGAAUAAAGCAAACCACUAGUCCCACCUGAAACUCUCUCUUCUUAAAUAUAAAGAGACUCUAGUUGAAUUUUAUUGCUUUAGUUCUGCUUAGAAUUAUUAGUGUGCAUCUAGCUUAAAUUUUGCUUUAAAUUUUGCCAGACACUGCUCUUUCAAAGUUUGCCCCUAUGAUUGACAUUGCAAAAGAACAUCAUAGUGUACAUUUCCAAAAAUAUACAAGGUUUGGCUCCUCCCUAGGUGGGUUCUGGUGCCUUCAGGAAUACACCUCCCUGUAUAUUACACCCCUUUCCC